AGACAAGCCACUACUCGCUGCGACUUUGACUGAACAUCACGGCCGAUUUAAGCAAACGAAAGCACGAAGGGUCGCGUGGCCGAGUGAAGCUGCAGCAACUCCCGGAGAAAACGCAGCUCAAGCUGCUGGGACAGCAACUGGAAACACAACUCCUCUGGAGCCUGAAGCAUAGGCAUGGGAAAAACAAAACAUAGUAAACAUCUAAAUCGCAUUCAAUCACAAAAAUGGGGAAGUUCAGGCUCUCACGCAGGCUGUUGAAGUUUGAGGCCUGCAGGCGGUGAAUGGACAACCACGACGCAGGAACUCUGUGCUCUCUGAAACGAGAAGGAAAAAAAAAAAGUGAACUUCAUCCCAAUACUUUUAUCAUGUACGGUGCCUCACCUUGAGUAUUCAUUGAAAAGCGUAGCAUGUAUAUGUACCUAAUCAGCUUUACUGAAACCCCUAAAUAAAA